rnacentral:rRNA from 1 species
AUGGGAACGCGAAGAACCUUACCUACUCUUGACAUCCAGAGAACUUUCCAGAGAUGGAUUGGUGCCUUCGGGAACUCUGAGACAGGUGCUGCAUGGCUGUCGUCAGCUCGUGUUGUGAAAUGUUGGGUUAAGUCCCGCAACGAGCGCAACCCGUUAUCCUUUGUUGCCAGCGGUUCGGCCGGGAACUCAAAGGAGACUGCCAGUGAUAAACUGGAGGAAGGUGGGGAUGACGUCAAGUCAUCAUGGCCCUUACGAGUAGGGCUACACACGUGCUACAAUGGCGCAUACAAAGAGAAGCGACCUCGCGAGAGCAAGCGGACCUCAUAAAGUGCGUCGUAGUCCGGAUUGGAGUCUGCAACUCGACUCCAUGAAGUCGGAAUCGCUAGUAAUCGUAGAUCAGAAUGCUACGGUGAAUACGUUCCCGGGGUCUUGUAC